UACGUAGGGACCGAGCGUUGUCCGGAUUUACUGGGCGUAAAGGGCGCGUAGGCGGCUUAACAAGUCACUUGUGAAAUCUCUGAGCUUAACUCAGAACGGCCAAGUGAAACUGUUAUGCUAGAGUGCAGAAGGGGCAAUCGGAAUUCUUGGUGUAGCGGUGAAAUGCGUAGAUAUCAAGAGGAACACCUGAGGUGAAGACGGGUUGCUGGGCUGACACUGACGCUGAGGCGCGAAAGCCAGGGGAGCAAACGGG
rnacentral:rRNA from 1 species